UCUUAGCUGCAUCAGCCCCAGAGACUGGUGCCAAAUUCAUGCUCCAGACAAAAGGUGUCAAAUUCAUGCUCCAGACAAAAGACGAAUUCCUACCUGUCCCAGAGCUCUACUUCCCCUUGAAUAUUGGAAACUGUGAUGGUGCAGGGUCUGCUGAAUAUUGAGAGAAGUGAUCUCUCUUCUGCUUACUCUGGAGCAGGUCCUAUGAUGGACAGCCUCCUCCCAACACCCAGGGAGAGAACAAGCCAGUGUGGAGUGAUUCUGUUUCUCCUCUGGGCGGGGACUUGGACUGCCCAUCACUGAGCCCUUGGAGUCACCGCUCACCUCAGCCGGCCCCCAUUCUGCCCCAUCAGGGCUGAGACCCAAUGCUUCAUAGGCAAUGCUUUCAUGGGCAUCCCAGGGGGGUGGCUGACUUUCCAGUGACACCUGAGUUUGGGGAAGGUUCAGAAGGACAAGCUUGUCUUUCUAGCCUGGGAGUGUGUGUUCUGGUUUCCCCUGAGCUAUAUCAUUAAUCUCUUUCCAAUUCCAUCAAGGCUAAAUUAACGUGGGAAUUCCUCGUGUUAUGGGUUGAAUUGUGUCCCCCUCCUCCCUAUGUUGAAAUCUUUAUCCCAGUACUUCAGAAUGUGACCUUAUUUGGAAAUAGGGUCACUGCAGAUGCAAUUAGUUAAGGUCAUUCUGGAACAAGGUGGGCCCCUGAUCCCAUAUGACUGGUGUCCUUAUGAAGGAGGAAGUUAGGACACAGGCACACACAGGGAGAACGCCACAUGAAGAUAGAGGCAGAGAUCGGGACGGCGCUUUUACAAACCGAGGGAUGCUGAAGAUUGCCGGCAGCCUCCAGAAGCUGGGAGAGAGGCCUCAGGAGGAACCAGAGUCCGGAACUGGGGGACAAUACACUUCUGUUGUUUAAGCCACUGGUUU
rnacentral:lncRNA from 1 species